rnacentral:rRNA from 1 species
GAUGAACGCUGGCGGCGUGCCUAAUACAUGCAAGUCGAGCGAACAGACGAGGAGCUUGCUCCUCUGACGUUAGCGGCGGACGGGUGAGUAACACGUGGAUAACCUACCUAUAAGACUGGGAUAACUUCGGGAAACCGGAGCUAAUACCGGAUAAUAUAUUGAACCGCAUGGUUCAAUAGUGAAAGACGGUUUUGCUGUCACUUAUAGAUGGAUCCGCGCCGCAUUAGCUAGUUGGUAAGGUAACGGCCUACCAAGGCAACGAUGCGUAGCCGACCUGAGAGGGUGAUCGGCCACACUGGAACUGAGACACGGUCCAGACUCCUACGGGAGGCAGCAGUAGGGAAUCUUCCGCAAUGGGCGAAAGCCUGACGGAGCAACGCCGCGUGAGUGAUGAAGGUCUUCGGAUCGUAAAACUCUGUUAUUAGGGAAGAACAAAUGUGUAAGUAACUAUGCACGUCUUGACGGUACCUAAUCUGAAAGCCACGGCUAACUACGUG